rnacentral:rRNA from 1 species
UCUUUCUAGACACACUUUCCAGUACGUCUACUUUGUUACGACUUAUUUCAUUUUAAAAUGAAAGCGACGGGCGAUAUGUACAUAUUUUAGAGCUUUAAUCAUUUUAAAUAAAUAUAUAAAAUUACUAUCAAAUCCAAAUUUAAAUUCUUUUAAAAAAAAUUAUCCUUAAAUAAAUUUAAUGUAACCCAUCUCUUCUUCACUAUAUGCUACACCUUGAUCUGAUUUACUUUAUAAUCUAAAAUCUUAAAUAUUAAACUUCUAUUAAAAUAUUUAACCUACGACGAUAUGUAAACUAAUAAAUGAAGUGUCUCUUAUCGUGGACUAUCAAUUACAGGACAGGUUCCUCUGAAAAGACUAAAAUACCGCCAAAUUUU